GGGGACGCGGCGCCGGGCCCGGGGGCGGGGGCGGGGGCGGGGGACGCCGCCUUCUGCAGGGUGGACGAAGCGGUGACUACGACAUCCUCGGGGGCCAACAGGGUGAUUGAGAUCGUAGAGGGCUGCGUGGUGUCGCGCGCGGCGGGCGGCUCGCCGCUGGCGCUGGCCGCGCGC